ACUCCUACGGGAGGCAGCAGUGGGGAAUAUUGCACAAUGGGCGCAAGCCUGAUGCAGCCAUGCCGCGUGUGUGAAGAAGGCCUUCGGGUUGUAAAGCACUUUCAGUCGUGAGGAAGGUAGUGUAGUUAAUAGCUGCAUUAUUUGACGUUAGCGACAGAAGAAGCACCGGCUAACUCCGUGCCAGCAGCCGCGGUAAUACGGAGGGUGCGAGCGUUAAUCGGAAUUACUGGGCGUAAAGCGCAUGCAGGUGGUUUGUUAAGUCAGAUGUGAAAGCCCGGGGCUCAACCUCGGAAUUGCAUUUGAAACUGGCAGACUAGAGUACUGUAGGAGGGGGGUAGAAUUUCAGGUGUAGCGGUGAAAUGCGUAGAGAUCUGAAGGAAU
rnacentral:rRNA from 1 species